CACCUGUUUCUAUACAUCUGUUUUAACUCGCCUGUUUCUACAGGUCUGUUUGAACUUGUGUGUUUUAACUCGUCUGUUUUGACUUGUCUCUUUUGACUCGUCUGUUUUAACCCACCGGUUUUGACUGGCUUGUUUUAACUCGUCUAUUUUGACUGGCUUGUUUUAACCCGUCUAUUUUGACUCAUUUGAUUUGACUCAACUGUUUUGACUCGUCUGUUUAAACUCUGUUGUUUAAACUUGUCUGUUUUUGACUUAUCUGUUUUUACUCGUCUGUUGUGAUUCGUCUUUUUUGACUCACUUGUUUUAAAUCGUCUGUUUUGACUCGUCUGUUUGAACCUGUCUGUUUUUGACUCGUCUGUUUUGACUCGUUUGUUUUGACUUGUCUGUAUGAACCUGUAUGUUGUGACUCGUCUGUUUUAACGCCUCUGUUUUGACUCGUUUGUUUUAACUUGUCUUUUUUAACUCGCCUGUUUUGACUUGUUUGUUUUAACUCGUCUGUUGUGACUUGUCUGUUUUAACUAGUCUGUUUUGACUCGUCUGUUUUAACUUGUAUGUGGAGCCUUGCCUGUUUCCUGCAGCUCUGAGGUUUUUGUUCGAGGGUUUUUCACCGUGUAUACAGUGGGGUACCACUCUGACUGAAAGUGCACACAGAGCUGAACAAAAACCUCCAGUCUACUCUAAUCUUUCUGUUUACUCUCAGAAACAUCCAGAACAAACAAAUGAACAACAAAUAAACAACAGGUAAACAACCAGACACAGUAAGGUAUUCAGCCUGGUGUGUGUGUUUCUGUCUCUUACAGCUCGGUGUGUGUCCAUGAAAAGUGGAUUUUUUAACUUUUGGAGCCUCUGUGAGGAUGAUCAGCAGCUCUGAGGUUUUUGUACGAGUCUGUAACACUGUGAUGCUUUGCUGUUUGGAAAAGGAAUACGUCUCAAAGUCCAACCUACAGUUCCGCCCCCUGUGGAGUGGUUCGUCCCUGGCCCUCUGCAGCCUGAUGGGGUUCCCCUGGACCAGAUGGUGGCAGAGGUGUGCCAGAAGAGGACGCAUCCGACUGCCGUGACCACGACCACCCCGCGAACCUACGCCGUUGAAACCACCGUCUCCUAUAAACUGAACGACGCCUCCACCAACAACACCAAAGCCGACACCUGUGACGACCUUCAACCAGAGAAAGCCAAACUGAACUUCCUCCUGCUGCUGAUGAACGGAGUCAGAGUGGUGUUCACGAAAACGGUGGCCUUCAGCACCCUCCUCACCAUCAGAGCUGUCUUCGCCUAACAACCGAGCGACUCUUUGUCAAAGUGUUAGUAAAUUCAGGAUGAGAUCAAGUUGAUGAUGGAUCAUGUGAGGCCUGCAGAACGGUCACUGCGCUCACUGUCACAUUUAGAUUAAUAUGAAAACAUCAUCAUUCUUCAGUUCAUGUUUCAGAAUCAGCAGCACAUGAAAAUGCUCUGAAAUCACACGAAUGCAACACAUUUUCACCAAAAACAAUUAUUUUAGUUUUUUAAAAGCAACAAUCUGUAACUUCUCAUGCUUCAAACAGUCAUUUUAAAGUCUGUCUAAUAGAACAAUAACCUCCAACAGGGAGAAUGCUGUCUCUCGUGUCCACAGAGCUCGCCUGUUUUCAGCACUAUGUAACUUUGGCCGUGGGCCGAGGUCAUCUGGUGAGAUGUGUGUACGUCACUAGUUCACCAGCCUUCAGCUACAGAACACCAGUUAGCCCAUAUCUUCUCUGUUUGAUACAAAGGCUGAGGCUAACUGCCAAUGUCCAUCAGCGACGCACACUUCUGUUGGGCCACAGUUACUCCAAUGGAAAUACGCGGACCGAUGAACAUUGUUAAUGUUAUUUCUACAUUUUUUUUGGCAGAGAGAACUCAAAUGAUUCCUCGUCAGCCUCGACAUCAUCUUUUCUUAUUGUAUUGAUUGAGAGCCCCCUGGUGGCGGAAUCUACAUACUGUGCCUUUAAUAUUUUCAACGAUAUUUAGGCAAUAGGCUGGUUUCAUGAAAAACCUACUUGUAGUGAUGUUUAUAUUUCAGGUUCAGGUUGUUCUGCAGCCACCAAGAUGAUUCAUUAUUACACAAAUACAAAACACAUCAGGGAAAAAUAAAACAAUAUAAAAGUGCUCGAUUGUUUCCACCAAUAAGGACAUAUAAGAGAAAGAAAAAUCAAUACAUGUAAUAAAUGAAAAAUAAUAAAGUUGUUUGUAUUAAUCUCGUCUUUGGCAUUGAAAAUGUAGGGUUCCUCAGGGUUUAAUUCUGGGGCCCAUUUUUUUAUGUUUAAUUCAUUCAGUCAAGCAUAGAGUUAGAUGUUACACAGACGAUACUCAGACUUAUAUCUCAGUCAUCUCAAUGACAUGUUCUAAUUAUUUAACCUGUCUGUUCUCAAAACAACCUUUCACUCAUUAAUAAAUACUUUGACUUGAA